AGCUGUGUUGGCACCAAGCCCCGCCCCCACCACACGGCAGAUCGAUCCUCUCUACAAAGCUUCGCUGGAUGAAUGGCAGGCUCUAAAACAUACUCACCUCUUUGUAGCCGAAGACAAUGCGACCGUCUUGGUGAAGGGCCGCCUGGAAGGUGAAGCUGCCCUUGUCCUCGCGGCCCUGGAGGUGAGAAGACAGCACAGGGAAGAACGAAAAGUGGCUGCCUGCCUGUAUGACUGUGGGCCGAGGGCUCCCGGGAAGCGGUUAGACUAGGCACCCCCACCCCAGUGCUGGGUGCUGUGGUGAUCCACAUCGGGAAUCCCAGCUCUUCAGGAGGCUGAGGUGGGGGCACCAUGACUUCAAGGCAGCUCCAGCCAACACUGAAACUCAAAAAACCAUCAAGCUCCUCUCACAAUGGGGACAACCAUGGGUCCCUUGUGGAGGACAGAUGGGGUUCAGGGACAGAGUCCCUUCCAUCUCACCACCAGUACCUGAAAGAUACAAGAUGGCUGGCUUGUAUCCUGGUCCGUGGAUUACAAGAUCUUCUCCUUAACCGCUGAGGGGCCAUACAUACUUCAGGAUGGCUGGGCCUGGGCAGCCUGCCCCCCGCCCCCGUUUGCAAGGAUGUGUGGCCCAUGCCCAGUUGCAGCUGUCUCCCUAGAAGGCCACCUGGGACAUUUUGAUUCAACACCCCCUUCCCCAGCAGAAACCUGACAUCGCCCUCCCCAGUGGAAACCCGACAUCUCCCUCCCUAGAGGACAGACUUCUCCCUCCCCAGUGGAAGCCGAUCAUCCAUUGCUUCUGCAGCUUAACCCAGGAGACACUGGUCCACAGACAGGAGGGGUAAUGGCCCUCUGCUUCCAGCUCCAGCACACACAUUUACGCGUGUCAUGACUGAAGAACUGCAAUGAGACAGGAACCGAGUGACCCCAGAGAGACCCAGUAAGCAGCUCUGACGCCCAACAGUGGUCUAGUGACCUUCUCUGUGACAUCGCUAGGGUGGCUGCUAGGAACUGAAGGGACCCUACAUGGAACAGCCUUCCCUAUGGGGUGACCAGAAGAAAGACUUCCAGGCGGAGCCCUUGCAGCCCUUCACUAAA